CGAAGUAUUCAGCAUUGUCUGAGGCAUCAUGAACGUGAUAGAAUUCUGAUAACAUCGAUUUUAGAAGCGAGCUGAGUUGUGUCAAGGCAGAAAUAAAAAAUUUACUUGGGGAAGCAUUGGAUGUUAUAACCAGAUGCUCAGCAAGGUUUAACGGGAAAUCCGAUAUUAUUAGUCGAACAUGUGAUAUCCGACCACACGCAGUGAAAUCAAAUCUCAACAAAUCGCGACCCUGGUAUACUAUUUAGCCUCCAAUAUUGCAAGUUUGAGUUCACGAAACGUUUCUAGGUCAAGUUAUAUUUUUAAAAGCAUUAUUUUUUGUUAUUUCUUUAAAGAAUGUUUAUUUCUACUGCAAAUUGCCUAUUUCAAUUAUAAGUAAUGUAUACGGUAUGUUUUCAGACCAUUUCUACCUUUAUUUUUAACAGAGUUGAAUUUGUGCGAUCAUUGUUUAAAAAUAUUACACCUUCAAUAAAAAUAAAAGUCCAAAUGUGUGCCGACUGAUUUUGUGUGUUCCUUUUUGAACGAGAAAAAUCAUUUUUUCAUAUUAUUUUCCUGUUUUUGCCGCUUUAAAGUUUUUUUAUGUAAAAAGUGACGACACUUCAAUAAUUGAUGGUGUGGUCAUGGUUAAUUAAUAAAGAUUAUAUUGUUUACACAUCAGAAGAAUUUCGUUUAUUAUUUUGUUUAUAUGUGGUAGGUCAUUGGUGUUGAUUUUAUUGUUUGCGUUGACAUGUUCUUGACUUCCUGUUAUUGCAUAUUUUUUUCUUUAACAGCAUGAACAUUCGCUGGCAGAAACUUU